rnacentral:rRNA from 1 species
GAUGAACGCUAGCUACAGGCUUAACACAUGCAAGUCGAGGGGAAACGACAUCGAAAGCUUGCUUUUGAUGGGCGUCGACCGGCGCACGGGUGAGUAACGCGUAUCCAACCUGCCCACCACUUGGGGAUAACCUUGCGAAAGUAAGACUAAUACCCAAUGAUAUCCCACGAAGGCAUCGGAAUGGGAUUAAAGAUUUAUCGGUGAUGGAUGGGGAUGCGUCUGAUUAGCUUGUUGGCGGGGUAACGGCCCACCAAGGCAACGAUCAGUAGCCGGACUGAGAGGUUGAACGGCCACAUUGGGACUGAGAUACGGCCCAGACUCCUACGGGAGGCAGCAGUGAGGAAUAUUGGUCAAUGGGCGAGAGCCUGAACCAGCCAAGUAGCGUGCAGGAAGACGGCCCUA